rnacentral:tRNA from 1 species
GCUCAAUAGGUCUAGGGGUAUGAUUUUCGUUUCGCAUACUAUCAGUAUACUAUGAAAGGUCGUGGGUUCAAUUCCCACAGUGUCCA